rnacentral:rRNA from 1 species
GUGGGGAAUAUUGGGCAAUGGGCGAAAGCCUGACCCAGCAACGCCGCGUGAAGGAAGAAGGUUUUCGGAUCGUAAACUUCUAUCCUUGGUGAAGAUAAUGACGGUAGCCAAGAAGGAAGCCCCGGCUAACUACGUGCCAGCAGCCGCGGUAAUACGUAGGGGGCAAGCGUUGUCCGGAAUGAUUGGGCGUAAAGGGCGCGUAGGCGGCCCGGUAAGUCUGAAGUGAAAGUCCUGCUUUUAAGGUGGGAAUUGCUUUGGAUACUGUCGGGCUUGAGUGCAGGAGAGGUAAGCGGAAUUCCCAGUGUAGCGGUGAAAUGCGUAGAGAUUGGGAGGAACACCAGUGGCGAAGGCGACUUACUGGGCCGUAACUGACGUUGAUGCGCGAAAGCGUGGGGAGCGAACAGGAUUAGAUACCCGAGUAGUCC